UACGAAGGGGGCUAGCGUUGCUCGGAAUCACUGGGCGUAAAGCGCACGUAGGCGGCCUCUUAAGUCAGGGGUGAAAUCCUGGAGCUCAACUCCAGAACUGCCUUUGAUACUGAGGAUCUUGAGUACGGGAGAGGUGAGUGGAACUGCGAGUGUAGAGGUGAAAUUCGUAGAUAUUCGCAAGAACACCAGUGGCGAAGGCGGCUCACUGGCCCGUAACUGACGCUGAGGCACGAAAGCGUGGGGAGCAAACAGG
rnacentral:rRNA from 1 species